rnacentral:sRNA from 1 species
AAAAAAUGAUUUUAUUGAUCAUUUGAUGUAAGAAUUCAAUUUCUGUUUUAAUGGGCUAAUAGUAUUUGAUUAGCUGAGCAACCUAUUUUACAAAUAAAUAGGCUCCCCCCAUAUCUCCCACUGGGAGUCAAUGACACCAUGAUUUCACGUGUUAUUUGGAAUCAUAAAUUAUUUUUAUUUUGUUACUAAUUUACAAAAAAAAUUGAACAAGAUAAAAAUGAAUAAAUUCAAUAGCUGCGUCAUACUGGUUUACAAAGCAUAAACUGUUCAAACUCAGUUUACAAUUGUUCAAUUCGAUGGAUUAAAUUCAUUCCUUAAUUGUAGGAAAGUUGAAACUGACUUUGUAAAAUGAAUGCAUUUAUUUUCUCGUAGUUUUAUUGGUUCCCCUUCCUCUAAAAUAACUUGUUGUUAACUAGUUUACUGUCAUUUCCCUUUUAUUUUAUUAAACUUUAUUGUACUUUGAAAUAUGUAUACACGCAAUUUUCUUUUAAGAGAUAUUAAACCUGGCUGUUUUUGCUUCAAUGGUAUUUUCUGUAUUUGUUAUACUAUUACUGUCUGAUACGGAAUUAAAAGACGGAUUCUUCUCAACUUUACUGUAUAUGACCAAAUAAAUGCUAAUAUACGAGUACUGCUCAUAUAUAUACGUUACUUGUUCAUUGAGCUGUUUGCUAAAUUACUCGUAUAUUACUGGAUAUUUGUUGGUUAUUCUAAAUAAAUAAUCCAAAUCAU